GAUGAACGCUGGCGGCGUGCCUAAUACAUGCAAGUCGAGCGAAGCGGGGACGGGUGAGUAACACGUGGAUAACCUCCUAUAAGACUGGGAUAACUUCGGGAAACCGGAGCUAAACGGGAUACUUAUAGCUGGAUCCGAACGGCAUUAGCUAGUUGGUAAGUUAACGGCUUACCAAGGCAACUAUGCAUAGCCGACCUGAGAGGGUGAUCGGCCACACGGGAACUGAGAAACGGUCCAGACUCCUACGGGAGGCAGCAGUAGGGAAUCUUCCGCAAGGGGCGAAAGCCUGACGGAGCAACGCCGCGUGAGUGAUGAAGGUCUUCGGAUCGUAAAACUCUGUUAUUAGGGAAGCGGUACCUAAUCAGAAAGCCACGGCUAACUACGUGCCAGCAGCCGCGGUAAUUC
rnacentral:rRNA from 1 species